rnacentral:sRNA from 1 species
AUGGGCGUCAUGAAUAACAUGCGGAAACAGUGAUUUAAAUCUACCACCCAGCUGUAGUUGAAUCUACAAUCUGCUCAGGGAUUUAUACUCAAUGCCAAUUUGAUAUCAUGCUGGGAGGGACUGAUUGCAGAACCUUCUUGACAAGCCACAUAAAUCUAAAGAAAACGUUGUGUGACGUGAUCCUCAUGGUCCAGGAAAGAAAGAUACCUGCUCAUCGUGUUGUUCUUGCUGCAGCCAGUCAUUUUUUUAACUUAAUGUUCACAACUAACAUGCUUGAAUCAAAGUCCUUUGAAGUAGAACUCAAAGAUGCUGAACCUGAUAUUAUUGAACAACUGGUGGAAUUUGCUUAUACUGCUAGAAUUUCCGUGAAUAGCAACAAUGUUCAGUCUUUGUUGGAUGCAGCAAACCAAUAUCAGAUUGAACCUGUGAAGAAAAUGUGUGUUGAUUUUUUGAAAGAACAAGUUGAUGCUUCAAAUUGUCUUGGUAAGAAAUAUCAGAUUCCUGUUGUGUGUU